CUUUUUUUUUUAAAAAAAGGAAAAUGUGAUUCUGAACUAUGAAGUACAGAGCGUUUGUUUCUGGUUUUUGGAUACUGCCACUCUUUCACGGUGAAAUUCAAGCUCGUUUUCCUUUCAACUCAAAAUCCCUAAUCAUCAACACGAAGGGUUUGUGGACCAAAACGCUGCGUUUCCAUUUCACUCACAAUCUCAAGCUAACCCAGCUCUAUCUUAUGGCGUAUCAGAUGGAAGUAUUUGCUUUGCAAAUUGUGGCUUAAAUGGUUGCUGGAGAUGAAGAAAAAAGGUUAUUGGAUUGAAGAGUUUCUGUGUAUUUUUUGGGCAGGUAGAGAUAAUGCAGGAAAUUUCCAUCAUUGCUUCAAAAGGAUUAGCAGAAGUCAUGUUUUCGAGUCCUUUCAAGGAGAACCAUUGAGGUGCUCUAUCAUUAGCUAGACUAUCAUGGAUGUUGAGGCAGUAGACGAAGGAGAAAACAGUGAUAGACCUGUUUCUGAAAAUGUUGAAACUGGAAAAGGCCAGGAACAAAAUAUGACUGUAAACUUGGCUGAAAGAGAAGUGAAUAAUCAGAAUGGUGAUGCAUAUAGGAAACCACAAGUGGGCAUGCUGUUUGAAUCUGAAGAUGCUGCAAAAUCUUUUUAUAAUGCAUAUGCAAGACAUGUAGGAUUUAGCACCCAUGUUGGUCAAUUCAAUCGUGCUAAGCCUGAUGGUCCAAUUAUAACUUGGGAUUUUGCGUGUUCCAGGGAGGUAUUUAAAAGGAAGAACAUAGUUAGUUGUAAUGCAGUGCUUAGGGUGGAGAGAAAGAUGCAAACUGUGGAUAGUUACAAAAUUUGUUGAGGACCAUUGAGGAUUUUGAAUCAACAUGGAAGUCUCUUCUGGAUAAAUAUGAUCUCCAGAAAAAUGAUUGGCUUCAAGCAGUGUAUAAUGCUCGCAAACAAUGGGCCCCUGUUUACUUUCGUAAUACUUUGCUGCAAUUACUUCGAACCAUGGGGUUAGCUCCUUUUCUGAUGGAUAUGUAAAUCAACAGACAAUCAUACCCUUAUUCUUUAGGCAGUAUGAAAGAUCUCUUGAACAUUCAUUGGAAAAAGAAAUAGAAGCAGAUUAUGAGACUAUUUGUAACACACCUGUACUGAAGACUCCAUCACUAAUGGAACAACAAGCAGCAAAUAUGUACACUAAGAAGAUUUUUGCAAAAUUUCAGGAGGAACUGGUGGAAACUUUUGCUUAUACUGCAAAUAAUGUUGAGGAUGAUGGUGUGAUCAGUAAAUACAGGGUUGCAAAAUAUGUACAUGAUCACAAGGCAUACAUGCUCACAUUAAAUAUCUCUGAAAUGAAGGUGAAUUGCAGCUGCCAGAUGUUUGAAUACUCAGGCGUUCUUUGUUGACAUAUAUUGACUGUCUUCACUGUUACAAAUGUUCUUACCCUUCCAUCGCACUACAUUUUGAAACGAUGGACAAGGAAUGCAAAAUCUGAUCUUGGAACUGAUGAAAAAAUAACAGAUCCAAUUGACAUUGAAAAUCUCACUGUACGUUUUAAUAGUUUAUGUCGAGAAGCCAUUAAGCUUGCUGAAGAAGGAGCAGUUUCUGUAGAGACUUAUAAUGCAACAAUGAAUGCUUUAAGAGAGGGGGCUAAAAGGGUAGGUAUUAUGAAAAAAAAUGUUGCAAAAGUCACACCUCCAAACACUCAGGGUAAUGGAAGCUGCCUGAAAGACCAUAGCAAGAAUAGCCCUUCAUCAAUUUCUGAUGUCAUCCCAUCAUUAUGGCCUUGGCAAGAUUCAGUGUCUCAUCACUUCAAUCUUAAUGACCUGGGGCUUCCUGUUACUGAUUUGAAUACCCCUAGUAUGGCUCCUGUUUCUAUUCACCGGGAUGGUGGCCCUCCAGAUAACACUAUUGAUUUGAAUCACCCUUGUAAUUAUUAGUUUAUUUGGUUCAGAUAUACUGGUCAUUGCUUUAAUUGACUAUCAUUUAUCGAUGCAGGUUGUCCUUACUUGUUUCAAGUCUAUGACUUGGAUCAUCUCAAAUAAGAAUUCAAGCUCAUCCAGUAAAAUUGCAGUCAUCAACAUGAAGUUGGAAGAGAUCAGUCUAUGUCCAGAUAUCCGUUUAACAUUCAUGUUCUCUGCUGAAAAUAUUAACAAUCUAGCUUCAAGAUUAUGGUAAGGGCCCUUUAGGAGAGACAGAAGUGCAAUUCAGGGUGACAAGGGUCACUUUGGAGCCUAUGUUGAGGUCUAUGACUUACAUCAGUCAACAGCUAAAUGCACCAGUCAAUAGAGUUGCUAUCAUCAAUCUGAGGCUCCAGGAUACAAAGACAACUACUGGGCAAACAGAGUUGAAAUUCCAAGUUUCUAGAGAUACGUUGGGUUCCAUGCUGAGAUCUGUGACCUAUAUCCAGGAGCAGCUAUAAGAGUUUUCCUAUAAAUUAUGGAUGGCUAGCAGUGACCCUAGUGCAGUAUAGUCUAACAUCCAUAUCCUGAAGUACUUAUUAUUCUGUGAAGGUUUGCCAUUUUUUAUGUACCUAGUGACCCUUUAUUUAAUAUUUCAUGGUGUAAGUAGCCCAGGAAUCUCUAGUAUUUGAUCCAUAAAAAAAUUUUAUAGUAGAGUUGGAUAGGUUUUUUUUCGCAUUCUUUCUCACCUUUACCUCAGAUUAUACACCAUUUCCAUUAUGGAAAUUUAUUUUGUACAUAGAGACUUCUGAAGAUCAAGAAUAUCUCUUAGGAGCAUUGCGGAUGUCUAAUUUGUUUUUCGGCC